AUUGAACGCAGGCGGCAGGCCUAACACAUGCAAGUCGAACGGUAGCACAGAGAGCUUGCUCUCGGGUGACGAGUGGCGGACGGGUGAGUAACGUCUGGGAAACUGCCCGAUGGAGGGGGAUAACUACUGGAAACGGUAGCUAAUACCGCAUAACGUCGCAAGACCAAAGUGGGGGACCUUCGGGCCUCACACCAUCGGAUGUGCUCAGAUGGGAUUAGCUAGUAGGUGGGGUAAUGGCUCACCUAGGCGACGAUCCCUAGCUGGUCUGAGAGGAUGACCAGCCACACUGGAACUGAGACACGGUCCGGAAUCCGACGGGAGGCAGCAGUGGGGAAUAUUGGACAAUGGGCGCAAGCCUGAUGCAGCCAUGCCGCGUGUAUGAAGAAGGCCUUCGGGUUGUAAAGUACUUUCAGCGGGGAGGAAGGGAGUAAGGUUAAUAACCUUAUUCAUUGACGUUACCCGCAGAAGAAGCACCGGCUAACUCCGUGCCAGCCGCCGCCGUAA
rnacentral:rRNA from 1 species